GCGGAAUGCUUCAGGUAAGAAGCAAAAGAAAUUCGCAGUUCAAAGGUCAUCCUACGUCUUAAUGUUGAUGAAGCAGAACAGACAUUAGGCGACAGAAACCUCUUAGCAGCUAUACUAGAAGAUAAAGAAAGCUUAGGGAAGCUAUGUAAACAGUAAAACAAUUACUAGAUCUUAAAAGAGAAUUCAUUAUGUAUAUAAAGCAUUUUGCUCCCAUUCAUUUCAUUUGGAGGUGAUCAUUUUCAUUUAAGAAUCAUUGAGGCAUAAAUUACACCCAAACUGAUCAUUUUAACUUAGUAGAAUUUUGUGAAUAUACCUUUAUGUUGUCGAUGACACAGCUUUUUUAGUCGGUUUGCCUGUUAUCAUGUGUUUUAGCUCAGUGAAGUAAAUGAGGUUUUGUUUAAAGCGUGCUUGCAUGGAUGAUGUGUUGAUGCCUGUGGUUGCAUGCCAAAGAUAUUGUUUUUUGUUUUAGAAGGCCAUACAUGCAUGAAUAUGUUUUAUAGUGAAAAGAUUUGUAUGAAGUGUGAAAGAGGUACUAGUGCAAAUGAGUUUGCAAUUUUCAGUACUAUUUUUAUAUAGAUUUGCUACAAAAUUAAUUUACAAUUUUUAUAUACUAGAAAUAUAAUUUUCUUGAGAAUUACUGGAAGUAGCAAAUUAUAUUGUAAAUGGAUCAUACAAAGUGCAAAAUGUUGUGAUUCUAAGUCACAAACAAAAUCUCUUGUGUAACUUGUUAACGGAUUUGAAGAAAUCUUCAUUUCAAAGCUUUAGGCAGAAUAUAUAAAACUAAUUAUUUAGGGAUUAAUACAUAAUUUAUUAUAAUAUUUUCUGUAAUAUGGAAUGUUGUUUUAAGUAAGUAAUUUCUUUCAGAAGUGAAGUUUCACAUAAAGAAUCAUUUCCCUGUGUAAAGAUCUGUUUAGUUUGUAACCCAGCAUUUUUAGUGAAGUAAAGAAUGCGGGUAUUGUUUUAUAUGUUGACUUUAUGGCAAAAUAUGCCCAUAUUAUGUUUGAUAAUAAAGAUCAAUUUUA